GCCUGACGGGACAGCACAAGGCUGACCCUCAGUGAGGGCCCCAAGCUCGCCCUGGGCCCUCGGCCCGGCCGCCCAACUCCGAGCAGAGGCUCCGGAGGACGUCAAGCCGCUGGGCGUGGAGGCUGGUCACAGCCCCUCCGUUUGUGUGCUCUGCGGACAUGAAGUCAGCAUUUGGGGGAUAGUAAAUGUGACAGUUGUCCCUGCUGCCCUUCUGUCUCCUCCCAAGCCUGCACCCCCGGUGGACACAGCGUGUGCUAUGUACCCCCACACGUGCACAUUUGAUAAAUUUUGGACGCGGCUUGAUAUGGAGACCCUGAUGCAAACACGACGGCUUGACCACCCCUGCAGCCGAGGCAGGGAGGCCCUCACCUAACCCCUUCUGCCCGGACUGGAGCAACGGCUGGCGACUUCCCUAAUCCCUGGCCAACGCGCUCCCGCGAAGUCCCGUGGGAGCCCCCACCCUGGGAGCCACACCAACCCCCAUGGGGGCACAGCUGGAUCUGCCCUUUUUCCCCUGCCUUGGCGUGGGCCAGGCACGAGUGAGGCUGAGGUGGGGCUGAGACAGGAGCUCUGAGCCUGGGCUGCUCUCAUGGGGGCCGGGGCUUCCUUUGUAGCCCCAGGGGUCUCGUUUUAAGGCUCCUGAUGUGGACAAAGUGCCAUCCAGCAUUUCGCCGAGCAGCAAUGGUGUCCAUUGGAAACAACCUCCAGGAUGGGACUUGGGACGGGGCAUGGGAAGCAGACACAGCCCUGCCCCGCGACGCUCCAUCCGGCUCACAGCAUGCAGCGCUGGAGGCCUUGCAGGCCUCACUCCCGUGGCCCAGGCUGGAGUGCAAUGGCACAAUGGUGACUUGCUGCAACCUCAGCCUCCUAAAUAGCUGGGACCACAGGCGUGCGCCACCACGACCAGUUAAUUUUUAUUUUUUUUUGAGACAGAGUCUCGCUCUGUCACCCAGGCUGGAGUACUGUAGCGUGAUCUCAGCUCACUGCAACCUCUGCCUCCCAGGUUCAAGCGAUUCUCCUGCCUCAGCCUCCUGAGUAGCUGGGAUAACAGGCGCCCACCACCACGCCCGGCUAAUUUUUGUAUUUUUAGUAGAAAUGGGGUUUCCCCAUACUGGCCAGGCUGGUCUCGAACUCCUGACCUCAAGUGAUCCGCCUGCCUCGCCCUCCUAGAGUGCUGGGAUUAUAGGCGUGAGCCACCACGCCAGGCCACUUUUUGUAUUUUUUUGUAGAGCCGGGAUCUCACCGUGUUGCCCAGCUGCUCUGGAACUCCUGGGCUCAAGUGAUCCGCCCGCCUCAGCCUCCCAAAGUGCUGGGAUGACAGGCGAGAGACACCACGUCCAGCCAAGCUUUUUUUAAGAUUAAAAAAAGCUACUGGUAAAACAAGACAGAAUGUUUCCAUUUUUGUAAAACAAAACAAAAUAUAUAUAUAGAUAGAUAGGUGAUAGCUGAUAGAUGGAUACAUGGAUAGAUGACAGAUAAGUCUGUAAGGUAGAGCGGGAAGGUUGAACACGGUAUUCCCUGAGAGUAGGCUGGGGUGGGGAAGUAUUGACUUCAUCAUCGUUUACUUUUUUUUAGUGUUAAGUAUUACUUCUGUUAUUUAAAAAACAGACCAGGUGUGGCAGCUCAGCUUGCCAUCCCAGCACUUUGGGAGGCUGAGGCCGGAGGACUGCUUGAGGCCAGUAGUUUGAGGCCACCCUGGGUAACAUAGCAAGACCCCAUCUCAAAAACAAACAACAAAGAUUAAAAACCCUCUGACCACUGCCCUCAAGGGCUGUGGCCCUGGUGCACCCACCCGCGAGUGGGGCGCUUUGUCCUGCCCCUGUGAGUGCCCACCUGGUCCCGCUCAAUGGCGACCUCCUCCAUCUGCAGCAGGAUGGCCUCGAUGCGGUCCUUGUACAUCUUGGAGUCCUUACGCAGUGCCAGGCACUGCAGCUCGAACAUCUCCUUCUCCUCCAUGCACUGCGGGGGGCGGCAGCUCAGCCCCCACAGGCCUGAGGUCCCCCAUUCUGGCCCUUGGGGUGUACUCCGGGCAGGGGCUCAGAAGCAUGUGGUCAGGCCAGUUGGGAUGUCUGGGGAGGCCAUAGGAGUCCCCAGGCCCCUACCAGCCCUGCACUUCCAGACCGCGGCAGGACAGGGCCCUCCCGCAGG
rnacentral:lncRNA from 1 species